CUGCAUCAAUUACCUCUUCAAUGCAGGUAGAAUCUCAACUACUAUCAAAUCAGAAUUUGGUUUUUGAUCCAAUGAAUAAUUCUGUACCAUGUACUUCUUCAAUGGUGGGACCUCAACUACUAUCAAAUCAAAAUAUGGUUUUUGAUCCAAUAAAUCAUU